GACAGAGGGGGCAAGCGUUGCUCGGAAUCACUGGGCGUAAAGCGCGCGUAGGCGGCCCGGUAAGUCCGCUGUGAAAGUCAAAGGCUCAACCUUUGAAUGUCAGCGGAUACUGCCGGGCUAGAGUCCGGAAGAGGCGAGUGGAAUUCCUGGUGUAGCGGUGGAAUGCGCAGAUAUCAGGAGGAACACCAACGGCGAAGGCAGCUCGCUGGGACGGUACUGACGCUGAGGCGCGAAAGCGUGGGGAGCGAACAGG
rnacentral:rRNA from 1 species